rnacentral:lncRNA from 1 species
CAACUAAUUCUGCUUGGUCCCUAGUUGAUGAUUCACUCUUCCGAAUUCACUCGAUUCCUUUUAGGGGAAAAAGUUAACAUUUCACUUUCUCAAAGUUCUAUCUUGUUCAAAAUUCCAAGUUAGAACCUUGAAAAAGUCUCCUUUUUUUUUUUCUCUCUGUGAAAAUUAUAUAUCAUUAACCUGUAAUUUUCAAGUAAUUAAAUCAAUGAAAAUAUGCAAAAUCAACUAAAUUGUAUGGCAAAUCAUAUUGAUUGCAUGCUUGUUUAGGAUUGAAAUCCUAGGAAAACAUGCAUGAAAUCUUAGGUCCACCACCAUUCUGAAUACUGCAACUAAUUCUGCUUGGUCUCUAGGAGGUUUAUGAUUCACUGUUCCCAGUUCAUUAGAUUCCUUUUAGGUGAAAAGGUUAAACAUUUCACUAUCUCAAAGUUCUAGCUUGUUGAAAAUUCAAAGUUAAAACCUUCAAAUACUUUUUCUUAUUUUCUCUCAGUGAAAAUUAUAUAUCAGUAACUUGUAAUUUUCAAGUAAUUACAUCAACGAAAAUAUGCAAAACAUUAUAUGACAAAUCAUAUUGAUUGCAUGCUUGUUUAGGAUUUAAAUCCUAGGAAAAGAUGGAUGAUUUUGUAGGUCCACCACCAUUUUGAAUACUUCAACUAGUUCUGCUUGGUCCCUAGCAGGUUGACGAUUCAUUGUUCCCAAUUCACUAGAUCCCUUUUAGGUGAAAAAGUUAAAACAUUUCACUAACUCGAAGUUCUAUCUUGUUCAAAAUUCAAAGUUAAAACCUUUAAACAGUUUUCUUUUAUUUCCUUUUGUGAAAAUUAUGUAUCUCUAACUUGUAAUUUUUAAGUAAUUACAUCAAUGAAAGCAUGCAAAACCCACAAAGUUAUAUGACAAAACAGCUAUAUACGAGAAUGUUGUUGUGAAAUUAAUGCUGGAAUACAAGUCAACCUGCAAGUAGCUUGUGAUAUUUAAUGUCCCAAUUUAUGAAUUCACCCUGUGGGUUCGUUGAGCUUUUAAUUGCAAAAUGGUUAAUUUUUGAGGGGGAUCCACCACUAAUAUGGAAGUUGAAAUUAACAGCUGGUUUCCCCAAGUUGCUCUUCUUCUGCAUACAUUAAGAUUUCCCUUUGUGAAGGUGGUGAAUGAUAAUGUUUAAUUCUGAACCAUAACUUAUGAUUGAAUACUAUUCAAUGUGGCAGUUGGAGGUUGCUGUUAUGUCACAUAUAUAAUCGAGUUAUCACUGUGCUUCACAUGUUUCGUGAUAAAAAUCUGCUGGAUGGCUUAAAGAAUUUUCUUGAAAAGAUUCUUUUUAUAUGCGAAAUUAUAUAAGCCUUACGUUUGAAUAGAAAGUGCCCAUCAAAGCAUGUGUUAAUAUAGAUUGCAAAA